rnacentral:tRNA from 1 species
GAUAGAUGGCUGAGUGGUCGAAAGCACUGGUCUUGAAAACCAGCGAGGGCGUAAGUCUUCCGGGGGUUCGAAUCCCUCUCUAUCC